AACGCGAAGAACCUUACCUGGUCUUGACAUCCACAGAAUUUCUCAGAGAUGAGGAAGUGCCUUCGGGAACUGUGAGACAGGUGCUGCAUGGCUGUCGUCAGCUCGUGUUGUGAAAUGUUGGGUUAAGUCCCGCAACGAGCGCAACCCUUAUCCUUUGUUGCCAGCGGUCCGGCCGGGAACUCAAAGGAGACUGCCAGUGAUAAACUGGAGGAAGGUGGGGAUGACGUCAGGUCAUCAUGGCCCUUACGACCAGGGCUACACACGUGCUACAAUGGCAUAUACAAAGAGAAGCGACCUCGCGAGAGCAAGCGGGCCUCAUAAAGUAUGUCGUAGUCCGGAUUGGAGUCUGCAACUCGACUCCAUGAAGUCGGAAUCGCUAGUAAUCGUGGAUCAGAAUGCCACGGUGAAUACGUUCCCGGGUCUUGUACACACCG
rnacentral:rRNA from 1 species